rnacentral:lncRNA from 1 species
UGAUGAGUAAAAUUUAGCACUGCAUAACUUGGAAAAAAUUAAAACAUGAAGACGUUUUAAUGGUCUUGGGGAGGAUAGAGAGGAAGCCUAAUGUGAUUGAUCAGAGCACUGAGGGAUGAAAUUGCAAAAUCUCAAUUAGCUGUGUUUUUUGUCUAAGAGAGAUUAAAGUUAGAGGUGCUUACAGAUUCACUCAAUGAAUUGCAUAAUAAUCAGCUAUAGAAGUAAAUAUUAAUUAUAUCCUACACAAAAGUUCCUACAGAAAAAUCUGAGCGACAAGUAGCUAUUUCUGUGUAGAGGGGGUAGGAUGGGGGAACAGCGAUAAGUGGAAAGGAAGGAAGUGAUAAUAAUAUAUUUAGAUGAAUCAACCAAAUUUAACAUUUCUAAUUUUAGAUAGAAAUUGUUGAAAGGACUAUAACAGUUGAAAUUUAAACUAGGAGUUUUAACUAUUAUAUGAUAGUUGAGAAAUACAUUUAGAUAUUUGUAGAAUUUGACUGCUUUUAUAUUUUCCUUUAAAAGUGUUAUAUGUUUUGAUUCUUUAUUUAUUUAAUGUCAUAUUCUUUAAUAAGGUUUGUUUUUCAUCACCAUAACAAUAGAACUGCAUGAUUAUAAAUCUCUGUAGGAGAUUGAGCCUAAAGCCAUAGUGUGGAACUCAAGACCUUGGUGAGCGUGAUGAGACACAUUAUUACUUUACUGACAUCUAAUGACCAUGUAGCUUAAUUGCAGAAUUUUUUUUAGUGGCAAAUAAAAUACAUUGAAGUUAUACUCUAAAAUCAUUUAGUAAUAGCUGCAAUUUUUUUAAAAUUCCUUAUUCUCUAUCACUUUCUUUGCCUUCUUUUGUAUUAUAUUCCUCUACCCAAUCUUCCUUUCUCUUUCUUCCUUUAUCUCAGGUGCAACAUAUGGUUAUACAAGCAUAUAUAACCUAUAUACCUAAGGUACCCAGCACAUUUCUGAAAAAAAGGCAAAAGAAGUUACUGAGCCUGCCAGAGACCUACAGCCAGAAUUUCAGAGCUUCAGAAACUUAGGAAGGCCCCAUAAGCUUGGAAUCAGGAUAAGAAUGCACUAGCUCUUCCAAUGGCUGGUCCGAAGAGUCACAAGAAGAACAAUAGUGGUAACAGUAACGGUAAUACAAUUUUUUAAUAAAACCGUGUUUUACAGAAUUUUAACUAUCUGUGAGGGGCUGGAUUGUUUCUUUUAUUCCUCAUACUAACCUUAUAAAUAAUAGGUGUGCUUAUUGUCCCCGUGUCACAGAUGUGAAAACUAAGGCUUAGAGAAGUUAAAUAGGCAGCCCAAGUCACAUAGUAGUAAGGGGCGGAGCUAGAACUUUGUCUCCAGAUCUCCAUGCCAGUUACCAGUGCAUUAUUCUGGCAGCUUAGGCUGGCAGGGUAACAUGAGGAGUUCCAGGAAGGCUAAUCUCUUUCAAUAAAAUAUCAACCCCGUCCCUCAAUAUGCGCAUGUGCCUAAAACUUUUAACUUUAAAAAAUGUAUUUCUUUGGGGGCCUGAAAGGUUAGGAGGGAAAGUUUCUCAAGUCCACUAUUCAGGUCUAAACACC